GUACUUGCUUGGGCAGUACAUACAGUAAAGUUGGAACGAUACAGAGAAGUUCAGCAUGGCCUCUGAGCAAGAUUAGACGCAAAUUCGUGAAGCAUUUGAUAUUUUG